UACGUAGGUGGCAAGCGUUGUCCGGAUUUAUUGGGUUUAAAGGGUGCGUAGGCGGCCCUGUAAGUCAGUGCUGAAAUAUCCCAGCUUAACUGGGAGGGUGGCAUUGAUACUGCGGGGCUAGAGUACAGAUGAGGUAGGCGGAAUUGACGGUGUAGCGGUGAAAUGCUUAGAUAUCGUCAAGAACACCUAUAGCGAAGGCAGCUUACUAGGCUGUAACUGACGCUGAGGCACGAAAGUGUGGGGAUCAAACGGG
rnacentral:rRNA from 1 species